GUGUGUGUGUGUGUUUGCCUGUUAGUGUGUGUCUGUUAGUGUGCGUGUCUGUUAGUGAGUGUGUGCGUGUGUCUGUUAGUGAGUGUGUGUUUGCCUGUUAGUGUGUGUGUGUUUGCCUAUGAGUGUGUGUGUGUGUGUCUGUUAGUGAGUGUGUGUCUGUUAGUGAGUGUGUGUUUCUGUUAGCUAGUGAAUGCGUAUCUGUCAGUGAAUGUGUGUGUGUGUAUUUAGAAG